rnacentral:rRNA from 1 species
UACGGAGGGCGCAAGCGUUGUUCGGAAUUACUGGGCGUAAAGGGCGUGUAGGCGGUCUGGUAAGUCGGUUGUGAAAUCCCCGGGCUCAACCCGGGAACUGCAUCCGAAACUGCUGGGCUAGAGUUCCGGAGAGGAAGGCAGAAUUCCCAAUGUAGGGGUGAAAUCCGUAGAUAUUGGGAGGAAUACCAGUGGCGAAGGCGGCCUUCUGGACGGUGACUGACGCUGAGACGCGAAAGCGUGGGGAGCAAACAGG